rnacentral:rRNA from 1 species
ACACGACUACAUUAGAUACCCGUGUAGUCCCAGCCCUAAACGAUGCGCGUUAGGUGUAUCGGUGACCACGAGUCACCGAGGUGCCGAAGGGAAACCGUGAAACGUGCCGCCUGGGAAGUACGGUCGCAAGGCUGAAACUUAAAGGAAUUGGCGGGGAGCACCACAACGGGUGGAGCCUGCGGUUUAAUUGGACUCAACGCCGGAAAACUCAUCGGGAGCGACAGCAGUAUGAUUGCCAGGUUGAUGACCUUGCUUGACAAGCUG